UGAGCAACACAACCGAACUCUC
rnacentral:miRNA from 1 species